CCAUCCUCUGAACCGCACCAAUCAGGCGAGCGGUCCUUCCACGCGCGCGACGGCCACAGAUCCUCCGGGGGGCGGCGCAGGUCUUCGCUGGCCCUCGCACCCUCCUCCUCCGGCGGCGGCGCAGAUCUUCGGUGGACGUCGCGCCCUCCUCCUCCUGCGAGCUAGGCUGCCAUGGUCCUCCCGCCCUCCACCACUAGACCUCCUGCCCCGCCAAAAAUCUGGACGCAUGGGGACGAACCCAGCUCCCCACGCUGCCAUGGCAGACGUCAUACAUGGAUGAGGCGACGCACCCCGCAGCACCAGCACCUGGGGAGUCGACGGGCCUCACCUCCUGGAUGAAUGUCCGGCCCACAAAUUCACAGCGCCCAGUGCGCGCUUUUGCCGGCCAUAUUCAGAAGCAGGCGUUGAAUGAAAGUGAUCAAGAGGUCCUCAAUGGAGGCUUGUUUGCCUGGGCCAUGGAGCACGAGUAACUCGCACGCCCGGGCUUCUUAUCCUGUCCCCACACACCCAUCAGCCGAGCACGGCCACCAAGUAUGCGUCGUCCUUCAAGAGAGGUGGGGAAGAGCAAGCCGGGGAACCAGGGGAGGAAGUCGUCAAUGGACAGCAUAGUCCAGUCCCAGACGGCGAGUUCUCUAAUUAUUUCGUCCUCCGCGCGGCUUGGCGUACAGAGAACUUCCAGUCACUCGCGUCGGCCGUCCGCACGGGUCCAAUAUCAAGGCCAUCAAACGUCGAGUACAUGUUGUUUGUUGAUGAGCUAUAUAGAUGGAUUCGUUGAUUACUAAUCAAGCAAUAGUCGGAGGCAGAUUUGGCAAAAUUUGGAAGCCAUCGAGGUGGGCCUGAAACAUGAGGGAAAAAUUAGAUUCAUACCAUUAAAAGAUCUCAUCUUUAGAAAAAUACCACUGAAAUUUUGUGGAUUAGAAAAAUACCAUUGAAAGCUACCUCAGUUAUUGUUUUCUACCA